rnacentral:rRNA from 1 species
UCAUCUUCGGGGGUAGAGCACUGUUUCGGCUAGGGGGUCAUCCCGACUUACCAACCCGAUGCAAACUACGAAUACCGAAGAAUGUUAUCACGGGAGACACACGGCGGGUGCUAACGUCCGUCGUGAAGAGGGAAACAACCCAGACCGCCAGCUAAGGUCCCAAAGUCACAGUUAAGUGGGAAACGAUGUGGGAAGGCACAGACAGCCAGGAUGUUGGCUUAGAAGCAGCCAUCAUUUAAAGAAAGCGUAAUAGCUCACUGGUCGAGUCGGCCUGCGCGGAAGAUGUAACGGGGCUAAACUGUGCACCGAAGCUGCGGCAGCGACACUUAGGUGUUGUUGGGUAGGGGAGCGUUCUGUAAGCCUGCGAAGGUGGCCUGUGAGGGUUGCUGGAGGUAUCAGAAGUGCGAAUGCUGACAUAAGUAACGAUAAUGCGGGUGAAAAGCCCGCACGCCGGAAGACCAAGGGUUCCUGUCCAACGUUAAUCGGGGCAGGGUGAGUCGACCCCUAAGGCGAGGCCGAAAGGCGUAGUCGAUGGGAAACAGGUUAAUAUUCCUGUACUUGGUGUUACUGCGAAGGGGGGACGGAGAAGGCUAUGUUAGCCGGGCGACGGUUGUCCCGGUUUAAGCAUGUAGGCGGAGGUUCCAGGUAAAUCCGGUACCUUUUAACGCUGAGGUGUGAUGACGAGGCACUACGGUGCUGAAGUAACAAAUGCCCUGCUUCCAGGAAAAGCCUCUAAGCAUCAGGUAACAUUGAAUCGUACCCCAAACCGACACAGGUGGUCAGGUAGAGAAUACCAAGGCGCUUGAGAGAACUCGGGUGAAGGAACUAGGCAAAAUGGUGCCGUAACUUCGGGAGAAGGCACGCUGAUAUGUAGGUGAA